GCUAGUCACUCCCCCAGCGGGCUGCGGUGUCCCGGCGAGACGCUCCCACUCCGCACAACUCCACGGCGGCAGCUCAGCUGCCAAGUCUGUACCAUGUCCGGUCUGAGAGGAAGAGCAGCAGGUUGCUGAAGCCAGUGCGUGUUGAUCUAUACACGAUUGGCUGAAAGACACCUAGAAUGAGUAACUGAGCCAUUCAACCUCUGCAGCCCUCCAAAACUAGUUAUUUCUGAAGAUAGGUUUCCAAGCAGCACUGCUAAAUACAACAGAGCAGUCUCAGACAGAUUCUACUUGAAGACAACUGAAGAAUUUCGGGACAAGACAGACUACCUCACUGAGAGUGUUUCGUUUCAGUUUAGUCUCCUUUGAAUGGGAUUAUAAAAAUAAACGGAUAUGGAAAAGACUUGUUAGACUAUUCAGAUGACUUCAUGCCAUUGUCAGAUUGUUCCUUAGAGUACAUUCUGAAAGGGCCAAAGAUUGUUCCCCUCUUAACCAUAAGCACAGAAGGUCCUAAAUGUCACAAUCAUGCAGGGAUCUAACAGAAGAGUUUUAACAUCUUCUGUCCACCACCGAGUAACUAAAUCCAUA